GGGCUCUUCUCAGUGCCGUAGUCUCAGAAAGCAUAUCAUUUUUCCACAGGGGAUCUUCCCAACCCAGGGAUCGAACCCACUUCUGUUGCUUCUCCUGCAUUGGCAGGUGGAUUCUUUACCACAGUCGCCCUUGGGAAGCCAGCAACAGGACCCUGGGCCAGGAAGUCAUUUAACAUUUCGGUGCCUCAAGUCUCCCCACGGGUGAACACCGAGCUGUUCUGAGAUGGCAAAUGAAAACACCCAGCACAGGACCUGGAAAGCGGCGGCGGCGUCGAGGGUUUUCAGUGAGGGCUAAUUCUGCUAAUUCCACCGCCCCCUGUCUAGCCCACGAGUCUCCGGAAAGAACCCUGAGGGGCCCCUUAGGACCGCCGGCAGCCUGGGGCGCACCCCUCCCCACACACACACACAGGGCCGAUGUGGAUUAGUUUUGAAAGAACGUCCUUACAAGAGACUGUUCUUGCCCAGCCAAGACGUGAGCUCUCUUUAAUCUACACGCCUGAUCACACGGCUGGACUCGGCCAAGCCCUCUUCGCGUCCACACAGCGGGGGCUGACCGGAGCCCCUCAGCCUAGCCCCAGCGCGGGAGGCCCGCGAGAGCGGCGUGCGCAUGCGUCAGGCCCAACCAUCGCCUCAGCUCGCGGGACUCAGCGGCCCCGGACACGUGGGAGCUCCGGACCAGGAAUCGAACCUCUGUCCCCUGCAUCGGCAGGCUUCCUCGCAACCACUGGACCUGGGCAUGGGACUUAAUCUUUGAGGGCCACAGUUUUCUCCUCAGAAAAGGGGGCUUGAUAACAGAAAUGCAGUUGAAACUCCAUGUAGGUGAUGCCUCAUGGGCAUAUCAUGGCCGCUCAUUGAAUGGUAGCUAUUAGCAGUAGUGGGUCUAUCCUUUCAAAUAAUAUGCAAUAAAUAGGAGGAGUGGCUCUAGCCAUUAAUGAGUUUAAUGCUGUGAUAUCUUGAGCUACUGCAAAUCCAGUAUAUAAUAU
ensembl:lncRNA